CCUGGCUCAGGAUGAACGCUGGCGGCGUGCUUAAUACAUGCAAGUCGAACGAAUGGAUGUCUAGCUUGCUAGACUGAAGUUAGUGGCGAACGGGUGAGUAAUACAUAGGCAAUCUGCCCUGAAGUGUGGGAUAGCUAUUGGAAACGAUAAUUAAUACCGCAUAGGUAGUAAGAAGGCAUCUUCCUACUAUUAAAGAUGCGUCUGCAUCGCUGCAGGAUGAGCUUAUGGUGUAUUAGCUAGUUGGUGAGAUAAAAGCCCACCAAGGCUAUGAUACAUAGCUGGUCUGAGAGGAUGAACAGCCACAUUGGGACUGAGACACGGCCCAGACUCCUACGGGAGGCAGCAGUAAGGAAUUUUCGGCAAUGGGGGCAACCCUGACCGAGCAACGCCGCGUGAGUGAUGAAGGUCUUCGGAUCGUAAAACUCUGUUGUAAAGGAA
rnacentral:rRNA from 1 species